rnacentral:rRNA from 1 species
CCUACGGGUGACAGCAGUGGGGAAUAUUGCACAAUGGGGGAAACCCUGAUGCAGCGACGCCGCGUGAGUGAAGAAGUAUCUCGGUACGGAAAGCUCUAUCAGCAGGGAAGAAAAUGACGGUACCUGACUAAGAAGCCCCGGCUAACUACGUGCCAGCAGCCGCGGUAAUACGUAGGGGGCAGGCGUUAUCCGGAUUUACUGGGUGUAAAGGGAGCGUAGGCGGUUUAGCAAGUCAGAAGUGAAAGUCCGGGGCUCAACUCCGGGACUGCUUUUGAAACUGUUGAACUAGAUUGCAGGAGAGGUAAGCGGAAUUCAUAGUGUAGCGGUGAAAUGCGUAGAUAUUAGGAGGAACACCAGUGGCGAAGGCGGCUUACUGGACUGUAAAUGACGCUGAGGCUCGAAAGCGUGGGGAGCAAACAGGAUUAGAUACCCGGGUAGUC